rnacentral:rRNA from 1 species
UGCCUAACACAUGCAAGUCGAACGAGACCUUCGGGUCUAGUGGCGCACGGGUGCGUAACACGUGGGAAUCUGCCCUUCGGUUCGGAAUAACAGUGGGAAACUACUGCUAAUACCGGAUGAUGACGUAAGUCCAAAGAUUUAUCGCCGAAGGAUGAGCCCGCGUAGGAUUAGGUAGUUGGUGCGGUAAUGGCCUACCAAGCCGACGAUCCUUAGCUGGUCUGAGAGGAUGAUCAGCCACACUGGGACUGAGACACGGCCCAGACUCCUACGGGAGGCAGCAGUGGGGAAUAUUGGACAAUGGGCGAAAGCCUGAUCCAGCAAUGCCGCGUGAGUGAUGAAGGCCUUAGGGUUGUAAAGCUC